rnacentral:rRNA from 1 species
GCAAGUCGAACGGAGACCCUCAUCGUGGGGUAACCACAGCGAGGGUGUCUAGUGGCGAACGGGUGCGUAACACGGUGAGGAACCUGCCCCGGAGAUCGGGAUAGCCCAGGGAAACCUGGAUUAAUACCGAAUACCCUCCGACCGUCGCAUGUCGGACGGAGGAAAUGGUCCGCUGCUCCGGGAUGGCCUCGCGGCCUAUCAGCUUGUUGGUGAGGUAACGGCUCACCAAGGCAACGACGGGUAGCUGGUCUGAGAGGACGAUCAGCCACACUGGGACUGAGACACGGCCCAGACUCCUACGGGAGGCAGCAGCAGGGAAUAUUGCACAAUGGGCGAAAGCCUGAUGCAGCGACGCCGCGUGAGGGAUGAAGGCCUUCGGGUUGUAAACCUCUUUCAGGAGGGAAGAAGCGAAAGUGACGGUACCUCCACAAGAAGCCCCGGCCAACUACGUGCCANCAGCCGCGGUAAUACGUAGGGGGCGAGCGUUGUCCGGAUUCAUUGGGCGUAAAGAGCUCGUAGGCGGCUCAGCAAGUCGGUCGUGAAAGCCCGGGGCUCAACCCCGGGACGCCGAUCGAAACUGCUGUGGCUAGGGUCCGGUAGAGGAGAGUGGAAUUCCCGGUGUAGCGGUGAAAUGCGCAGAUAUCGGGAGGAACACCAGUAGCGAAGGCGGCUCUCUGGGCCGGCACCGACGCUGAGGAGCGAAAGCUAGGGGAGCAA